rnacentral:rRNA from 1 species
UACAGAGGUCUCAAGCGUUGUUCGGAUUCAUUGGGCGUAAAGGGUGCGUAGGCGGUCGUGCAAGUCGGAUGUGAAAUCUCAGGGCUCAACCCAGGAACUGCACCUGAAACUACCAGUCUUGAGUGGUGGAGAGGGAAGUGGAAUUCCUGGUGUAGAGGUGAAAUUCGUAGAUAUCAGGAGGAACACCAGUGGCGAAGGCGGCUUCCUGGACACUAACUGACGCUGAGACGCGAAAGCGUGGGGAGCAAACAGG